UAUGUAGCUAAGGAGCUCCUUUCAGGCCAAGACCGAGGGUCGAGUAGCGGCAAGAGCUGUCAUGUCAUGCAUAUUGGUUAAGCUUAAAUUACUAGCAAAAAUGUUUAAGAAUAACCAUUUGCAUGACGGGAGAGCAACUACUUUCGCUAACUUGACCCACUUAUUGGACUGAAGGGAGCUCCUCUUUAUUUAUCA
rfam:Nicotiana attenuata strain TT chromosome 3, whole genome shotgun sequence.